rnacentral:rRNA from 1 species
GGGGGACAACAUCUCGAAAGGGAUGCUAAUACCGCAUACGUCCUACGGGAGAAAGCAGGGGAUCUUCGGACCUUGCGCUAAUAGAUGAGCCUAAGUCGGAUUAGCUAGUUGGUGGGGUAAAGGCCUACCAAGGCGACGAUCUGUAGCGGGUCUGAGAGGAUGAUCCGCCACACUGGGACUGAGACACGGCCCAGACUCCUACGGGAGGCAGCAGUGGGGAAUAUUGGACAAUGGGGGGAACCCUGAUCCAGCCAUGCCGCGUGUGUGAAGAAGGCCUUAUGGUUGUAAAGCACUUUAAGCGAGGAGGAGGCUACUUUAGUUAAUACCUAGAGAUAGUGGACGUUACUCGCAGAAUAAGCACCGGCUAACUCUGUGCCAGCAGCCGCGGUAAUACAGAGGGUGCGAGCGUUAAUCGGAUUUACUGGGCGUAAAGCGUGCGUAGGCGGCUUAUUAAGUCGGAUGUGAAAUCCCCGAGCUUAACUUGGGAAUUGCAUUCGAUACUGGUGAGCUAGAGUAUGGGAGAGGAUGGUAGAAUUUCCAGGUGUAGCGGUGAAAUGCGUAGAGA